rnacentral:rRNA from 1 species
AACGAACGCUGGCGGCAUGCCUAACACAUGCAAGUCGAACGGCAGCACAGUAAAGACUUCGGUCUUUAUGGGUGGCGAGUGGCGGACGGGUGAGUAACGCGUAGGAAUCUGUCCUGGAGAGUGGGAUAACCCGAGGAAACUCGGGCUAAUACCGCAUGAUAUCGAGAGAUCAAAGGCAGGGGACCCUUCGGGGCCUUGCGCUCUAGGUUGAGCCUACGUCGGAUUAGCUAGUUGGUGGGGUAAAGGCCUACCAAGGCGACGAUCCGUAGCUGGUCUGAGAGGAUGACCAGCCACACUGGGACUGAGACACGGCCCAGACUCCUACGGGAGGCAGCAGUGGGGAAUCUUGGACAAGGGGGGAAACCCUGAUCCAGCGAUGCCGCGUGUGUGAAGAAGGCCUUCGGGUUGUAAAGCACUUUAGGUGGGGAAGAAAGGUAAUGAGUGAAUAACUGAUUGCUUUGACGGUACCCGCAGAAUAAGCACCGGCUAACUCUGUGCCAGCCGCCGCCGUAA